GAGAAAGGCUGGUAGCAACAAAGACUGCUGAUCUAUGUCACCUCGGUUAGACUCCGGGGCUUUCUUA
rnacentral:tRNA from 1 species